ACUUUUAGUAGAGACGGAGCUUCAUCAUGUUGGCCAGGCUGGUCUCGAACUCCUCACCUCAAGUGAUCCACCAGCCUUGGCCUCCCAAGGUGCUGGGAUUGCAGGCAUGAGCCACCACACCCGGCUUAAUCUUUUUCCAUCUCUCUCGGUUGCCUAGGCUAGAGUGCACUGGCGCAAUCUCCGUUCACUGCAACCUCCACCUCCUGGUUUCGAGUGAUUCUCCUUGAAAUGAAGUGAGGAUGCGAAGACGCAGCCAGGAGCUUGCGGUGGUCACCCAGUAAAACAUCCCCAGCUAGAGCUGGAACUGAAGCCUCAGGUUUGGGCAGGGGACAGUUCAGAAACCUUGAGGGUCCUCUCUGACACCUGGUUGGCUCCCUUGUGCUUGUUUCAGAGACGUUUCCUGCAGGGAGGCAAGUGAGGGAGGAGGGCAGAACUUAACACUGCAACACCCAAGGGCUCAGACGGUGAUUGUCUCCCACCAGGGAGGGUGGGGAGCCGCCAGAGAGAGCCUUGAUUAUUUCCUGCACCUUAAUGGGUCCUUCCUAAAGAGAGUGGCUUUGGUUUCCAUGACAACAAGCCCGCAGCAUCAGAGCAAGAUGGUGUAGUCUCCUCCCCCGACCCACAACUGGUUUGCGAAUCUCUACCCGUCUGUCCCUGUCAUUCCAAAUCGCAGGAAUUCAGCCGUGGCUCAGCCCAAGACCAGAGCGGGCAGCCGUGCAGUGGGCAGUGCUCCCUCUCUGUGGUCUGGCAGGCAGGACGCCCUCUGGCUCUGCACCACGCUGUUUCAGUGAAAACCAAAACAGAGGCCGGGCGCGGUGGCUCACACCUGUAAUCCAAGCACUUUGGGAGGCCGAGGCAGGCGGAUCACGAGGUCAGAAGAUCGAGACCAUCUGGUCAACAUGGUGCUGAAACCCCCUCUCUAAAAAAUAAAAUAAAAUAAAACCAAAACAGUCCUCAUA